rnacentral:rRNA from 1 species
UACGGAGGGUGCGAGCGUUGUCCGGAAUCACUGGGCGUAAAGGGCGCGUAGGCGGCAUGCCAAGCGUGUGGUGAAAGCCCGGGGCUCAACCCCGGGUCGGCCGUGCGGACUGGCGUGCUCGAGCACUGUAGGGGCGGGUGGAAUUCCGGGUGUAGCGGUGGAAUGCGUAGAUAUUGGGAGGAACACCAGUGGCGAAGGCGGCUCACUGGACUGGUACUGACGCUGAGGCGCGAAAGCGUGGGGAGCAAACGGG